UACAGAGGUCUCAAGCGUUGUUCGGAAUCACUGGGCGUAAAGGGUGCGUAGGUGGCGUGGUAAGUCAGAUGUGAAAGCCCGGGGCUCAACCUCGGAACUGCAUCCGAUACUACCAUGCUAGAGUACUGAAGAGGUGACUAGAAUUCUAGGUGUAGCAGUGAAAUGCGUAGAUAUCUAGAGGAAUACCAAAGGCGUAGGCAGGUCACUGGGCAGUUACUGACACUGAGGCACGAAGGCCAGGGGAGCAAAC
rnacentral:rRNA from 1 species